UUCCGUUAAGCCUGGCCUGAGCCUGCUGUCCUGUGUUCAUCACCCUGGUCUUCCUCCAGCAGCUGAUUUACAGGUCCCACUGUUCUGCUACUUCAGGCUCUCUCACUGUUGGUGUUCACUGAACCAAUGCACACUUGUGGAGAUCAGAGGACAACUUGUGAGGAUCAGUUGCUCCUUCUACCGUGUGGAUCUCAGGGAUUGAACUCAGAUCAUCAGGCUUGGUGGCAAGCACCUGCUGGUGGAACCAACUCACCAGACCCAGACUGAAGCAAUUUUGAACACCUGUGAACUACAACGCGUUCUUUAGCAGGAGAAAAACUUGGACAUUGGAAGUUUGCUCUGAAGACAUUGCUAAGGAACCACUGCUAAGAAAUAUUUGCUGCCAGUUUGGUCUCGACCGUCGCUCAUGAAAGGAAUGAAAUCUGUUCCAAUUGAUCUCCUCUGUCCCCAUGUUGGUGGUUAUAAGUCUUCAUUUCGGAUCUAAAAUGCAAGCCCUCUACACUGGCUCUAAAGGACUUACAGCUGAUCACUACUCUAAAUCAUCUCCUGGACUGACUCUAGGCGACCUUCAGCAGGAGCCCAUGUGCCUCUAAUCCAGAGCUAUGUCAGCUGACUGCUGGGUACCAGAAUAAUGCCCCCUAUGUUGUAGAAUAUUAUUUUAAGAUUCAACAGCUUCUGCUUUGAACAGAUACCAGAAUUUGCUUAAUGUGGCAAUCUCAACAAAACCAUUUCACCAUCCCUGAGCAUGUCCUGGGUGCAAAAGGGCUGAGUCCCACCACUGCUUUGUUUGAUCCAGACUGGCUUUGUAAAGGCUAGGACACCAUGACUCUGCUAUAAAAAGAUAAUAAUCCAAAGGGCUUUGGAGACGCAUCUGGCCACUUAAAGGGAACUGAAAAGCAGUGCUGAAGCCGGGUGGUGGUGGUGCACGCCUUUAAUCCCAGCACUCGGGAGG